UACAGAGGGUGCAAGCGUUGUUCGGAAUCACUGGGCGUAAAGCGCGCGCCGGCGGAUGGUUGCGUCCGGAGUGAAAUUUCGCCGCUCAACGGCGAAGCUGCUUUGGAUACGGACCGUCUAGGGACCGGUAGAGGCUGGUAGAAUUGCAGGUGUAGCGGUGGAAUGCGUAGAGAUCUGCAAGAAUACCCGUGGCGAAGGCGGCCAGCUGGGCCGGAUCCGACGCUGAGGCGCGAAAGCGUGGGGAGCAAACAGG
rnacentral:rRNA from 1 species